rnacentral:rRNA from 1 species
AGAGUUUGAUCCUGGCUCAGAAUGAACGCUGGCGGCGUGCUUAACACAUGCAAGUCGUACGUGAAAGAAGGGCAACCUUCAAGUAAAGUGGCGCACGGGUGAGUAACACGUGGAUAACCUGCCCCAAAGUCUGGGAUAACGCGCCGAAAGGUGCGCUAAUACCGGAUACCUUUAUGCCUCAUAAGAGGUAUAAAGAAAGGAGGCCUCUGCUUGCAAGCUUCUGCUUUGGGAUGGAUCCGCGGCCUAUCAGGUAGUUGGUAGGGUAAUGGCCUACCAAGCCUACGACGGGUAGCUGGUCUGAGAGGACGAUCAGCCACAUUGGGACUGAGACACGGCCCAGACUCCUACGGGAGGCAGCAGUGGGGAAUAUUGGGCAAUGGGAGAAAUCCUGACCCAGCAACGCCGCGUGGAGGACUAAGGCCUUCGGGUUGUAAACUCCUGUCAGCAGGGAAAAAGGUUAUAAGAGCUAAUACCUUUUAUAGCUUGAUGGUACCUGCAGAGGAAGCACCGGCUAACUACGUGCCAGCAGCCGCGGUAAUACGUAGGGUGCAAGCGUUAUUCGGAAUCACUGGGCGUAAAGGGCGCGCAGGCGGUCUUGUAAGUCUAAAGUGAAAUCCUUGGGCUUAACCCAUGGGCUGCUUUAGAUACUGCAAAACUCGAGUUCGGGAAAAGCAAGCGGAAUUCCUGGUGAAGGGGUGAAAUCCGUAGAUAUCAGGAAGAACACCAGUGGCGAAAGCGGCUUGCUAGAACGCAACUGACGCUUAGGCGCGAAAGCGUGGGGAGCAAACAGGAUUAGAUACCCUGGUAGUCCACGCCCUAAACGAUGGAUGUUAGGCGUUGGGAAGUACACUUCUCAGUGCCGUAAGCUAACGCGUUAACAUCCCGCCUGGGGAGUACGGUCGCAAGAUUAAAACUCAAAGGAAUUGACGGGGGCUCGCACAAGC